UAUUAUUUUAUUCCAAAUUACGCGUAAGAUAUGCAUGGUGAUGGAAUAAACCUUUUCAUCACUUUAAUACUGUAGACAGACAACACAAUAUACAAUGAAAUAUAUUGAAAUGGACAAGAAGUUUUUUGAGUUAUAGUUUUGGGACCUCCCCCUAAAAGAUCAUGUUGCCCCUGUAAAGGAUCUUCAUGACCAUACUUUCAUGCAAUAUUAAUGAUCUAGACAUUUAAACUACCAGUAUUGCCAAAUAUGGUAGGAGCCCUUUUUACAAAAAACAGGGAAUGCAAAACUCAUUCAUAAAAAUGGCUGACUUUCAGUGCAAAUUAUGCAUAUUGGGGGUAUUAUCCAAGCACCCCCCUGCUAUUUUUCAGUAUCAGAUAAGAGGAGAUAUGACAUGUCUGGCAGUGAGCUCAGGGAGGGUUUCUUCCUUUUAGCAGAGAUUACUGAAAAAUAUUACAGAAGGCAAAAUUCAGAUUGAGUAUCAGGAAGAGCUUCCAUGUCGUGUUGUGAAACAGUAGUCAAAGAGUAGUAGUGGAAGCCUUGCAAAAAGAGGUUAUUUACCUUGUAUAUUCCACCAAGAGCAUGCUCCUGAGGCCAGAAGAUUUUUACUAGCAAUGUCAAUUAGUCAGUCAUCAAAUCACUCUGAUUAACAGCUUCCAUGCAGAGAGGGAUAGAUCUUGCUCCCCCUUGUUUACUGAUGUAGAAAACUGUUGUUGUGUAGUCUAACAUCGUUGGAAUGUGGUGGGUUUACAAGAGUGCUAGGAAUUGUUGCAGGCCUUGCAGACUGCUUGCAAUUCUAGGAGGUUUAUGUGUGCAUCCUGGGCUCCAUGGGCGGAGUCCAUGUCCCUUGCGCUGUAUACUCUUUUGGAUAGGCAUCCCACCACAGCAGGGAAGCAUAUGUGAUCAAUGUUUUCUCAGGUGGGGGGACGAAAGCAGAGGAGCAUCCAUUUGUUCCUUGUUGCCCCAUCAGCCUAGAGAAUCUCACACUCUGUGAGGGAAGGAGUCUAACUUGUCCAUACCCUGCAUACACCAAACUUUUCUGCGGGUGACCCCUUUCACAUAGCAAGCCUCUGAGUGCGAC